AUUGAACGCUGGCGGCAUGCCUUACACAUGCAAGUCGAACGGUAACAGGUCUUCGGAUGCUGACGAGUGGCGAACGGGUGAGUAAUACAUCGGAACGUGCCCGAUCGUGGGGGAUAACGAAGCGAAAGCUUUGCUAAUACCGCAUAAGAUCUACGGAUGAAAGCAGGGGACCGCAAGGCCUUGCGCGAACGGAGCGGCCGAUGGCAGAUUAGGUAGUUGGUGGGAUAAAAGCUUACCAAGCCGACGAUCUGUAGCUGGUCUGAGAGGACGACCAGCCACACUGGGACUGAGACACGGCCCAGACUCCUACGGGAGGCAGCAGUGGGGAAUUUUGGACAAUGGGCGAAAGCCUGAUCCAGCCAUGCCGCGUGCAGGAUGAAGGCCUUCGUGUUGUAAACUGCUUUUGUACGGAACGAAAAGACUCUGGUUAAUACCUGGGGUCCAUGACGGUACCGUAAGAAUAAGCACCGGCUAACUACGUG
rnacentral:rRNA from 1 species